rnacentral:piRNA from 1 species
UGCUGUUUACUGCAGCCUUCCCUGGGCC